GUGGGUAUAGCUCAGUGGCAGAGUGCAUGCUUAGUGUGCAUGAAGUCCCGGGUUCAAUCCCCAGGACCUGUG
rnacentral:tRNA from 1 species